GAUGAACGCUGGCGGCGUGCCUAAUACAUGCAAGUCGAGCGAACAGACGAGGCGCUUGCCCCACUGACGUUAGCGGCGGGCGGGUUAGUAACACGUGGAUAACCUACCUAUAGGACUGGGAUAACUUCGGGAAACCGGAGCUAAUACCGGAUAAUAUAUUGAACCGGAUGGUUCAAUAGUGAAAGACGGUUUUGCUGUCACUUAUAGAUGGAUCCGCGCCGCAUUAGCUAGUUGGUAAGGUAACGGCUUACCAAGGCAACGAUGCGUAGCCGACCUGAGAGGGUGACCGGCCACACUGGAACUGAGACACGGCCCAGACUCCUACGGGAGGCAGCAGUAGGGAAUCUUGCGCAAUGGGCGAAAGCCUGACGGAGCAACGCCGCGUGAAGGAUGAAGGUCUUCGGAUCGUAAAACGCUGUUAUUCGGGAAGAACAAAUGUUGAAGUAACUCUGCACGUCUUGACGGUACCUAAUCAGAAAGCCACGGCUAACUACGUG
rnacentral:rRNA from 1 species